CCUACGGGUGGCUGCAGUGGGGGAUAUUGCACAAUGGGGGGAACCCUGAUGCAGCGACGCCGCGUGAGUGAAGAAGUAUUUCGGUAUGUAAAGCUCUAUCAGCAGGAAAGAAAAUGACGGUACCUGACUAAGAAGCCCCGGCUAACUACGUGCCAGCAGCCGCGGUAAUACGUAGGGGGCAAGCGUUAUCCGGAUUUACUGGGUGUAAAGGGAGCGUAGACGGUGAAGCAAGUCUGAAGUGAAAGGCAAGGGCCCAACCCCGGGACUGCUCUGGGAACUGUCCGGCUGGAGUGCGGGAGGGGCAGGCGGAAUUCCUGGUGUAGCGGUGAAAUGGGUAGAUAUCAGGAGGAACACCGGCGGCGAAGGCGGCCUGCUGGACCGCGACUGACGUUGAGGCUCGAAAGCGUGGGGAGCGAACAGGAUUAGAUACCCCAGUA
rnacentral:rRNA from 1 species